GGGGAAAGGGCGUAGCUCCGUAGAUAGCACCCUACCCCAGAGACCAGAGGUAGCAGUUCCUCGAGGUGGUCUAGCUUAGGGGUUUAGAGACAAAGAGCAAACUUGUAUUAAGUGAUGUAAUAAAUAGAUUGUACUUUGAAAGUUGAAUGUAAAAGAAAAUUGUGAUGUAAAAUGCAUGUAAUGUGAAUGCUUGUAAUAGCAAGUAGUUUUAUAUUUUUGAUACUUCUUUAUGCCAUCUUGAUUGAAAUGUGUUCCUGGUUGGAACUUCAUAUAUUGUAUUGAUUGCGACGUCUAGGACGUACAGAAAAAACUCUGUCCGUUCGGCGGUCUGUUGGCGUACCCGAACUCGACCAAAUGAGCGGGGCACGGGGCGUGACAGUAUUAAAUGCUUGGUGCUAUCGAAUUUUGUGCCGUUAGAUCAUAUUAUUCAACUAACCACCUACUCAACCCUAGGGAAUCACUAUCAUUCUAACUGCACAUUCCUUCAUCUAAAGGGCCGAAAACCUAAUAGUAAGUGAUUGGUACU
rnacentral:lncRNA from 1 species